rnacentral:rRNA from 1 species
AUUGAACGCUGGCGGCAGGCCUAACACAUGCAAGUCGAGCGGUAGCACAGAGAGCUUGCUCUCGGGUGACGAGCGGCGGACGGGUGAGUAAUGUCUGGGAAACUGCCUGAUGGAGGGGGAUAACUACUGGAAACGGUAGCUAAUACCGCAUAACGUCGCAAGACCAAAGUGGGGGACCUUCGGGCCUCAUGCCAUCAGAUGUGCCCAGAUGGGAUUAGCUAGUAGGUGGGGUAACGGCUCAACUAGGCGACGAUCCCUAGCUGGUCUGAGAGGAUGCCCAGCCACACUGGAACUGAGACACGGUCCAGACUCCUACGGGAGGCAGCAGUGGGGAAUAUUGCACAAUGGGCGCAAGCCUGAUGCAGCCAUGCCGCGUGUGUGAAGAAGGCCUUCGGGUUGUAAAGCACUUUCAGCGGGGAGGAAGGCGGUGAGGUUAAUAACCUCAUCGAUUGACGUUACCCGCAGAAGAAGCACCGGCUAACUCCGUGCCAGCAGCCGCGGUAAAAC